rnacentral:lncRNA from 1 species
AGUAAAUACCAUCUGCAGUUUUCUGUUUAUUGAAAAUAGUAAUGUUGAUUCCCUAUAUCUCAAUAGUUUCUUAUGGAAAUUAUUAUUUCGAUUUAUGCUGUUUUAGUUUGCAUCAUGUUUUUGAAGACUACAUCUCUGACACAAAGUGGGAUCUGAGUGACUACUCCUCGACUUGUAAAUUUGACUUUACGUAAAAUUUUUUCAUAAAUAUAGUAUAAAUAACUGCUAUAGUUUUAGAUAGCAAGUUCGAACAUGUUAAUUCUCAUUAUUGAAGUUUCAUAUUGUCGACCGGAUGGCCAUGUGCUAAACAGUGGCUUAUCUCGCUGGCUGGGUUCAAAUCCGGCCUGGCCCGUUGAAUUCCAUCUUUCAAUCUUCCAAUUGACUCCAUCAUCGGUUGGUCAGCCUGUGAUGGGCUUUACAAGUAGCUGCUGCCAGAUAAGCCGCUGUAUCGCACAAUGAUAUACUUUAACUGCACAAACCUAACGAUACUACCUAAAACUUCAUAUUACUGGUAAGAUAUAAUCAUGGUCAUAGAUAUAGUUCCAUGCCGCUUUCUCUUUUUCAGUCAAGGAACUAGAUGGCCUUGACUGAAAAUGAGAAAUUACGUAAUCCUGAAGUUUUUAAUUAGAUUUUUGUUAAAAAUAUUUUCCAGUUUGCGUAAAAUUCCUAAAAACAUAAUCCUUACGUAAGUUGGAAGAAACGAUUGAUGGUCGGAAGUGACCAGGUAAUCCUCGACAUAUGACGGCAAUGUCAUCGUUAAAUUCUGAUUGAUCACUGCAAUUGAUAUAGUUUAGUUUCGAGUCUCCGAACAAUGAUCUGAUACAAAUAGCAAUCUUUUUGUCUAGUCUGAUGCUCAUUAAGUUUAUUACGAUAAAAUGGAGUGUAAUUAUAAAUAUUAGUAAUGGACAAUUCAUAAAUUUUGACAUUUCUAACUUACAAACUCUCCGACGUAAGACGGCUGAAUUCAAACCGAACCCGUCAGAGAUCAAAAACUAUUUUAAUUAUACAUAAUGUCAUAUUACAUCGAUAGUUCAUGUAUCUUGUGUAUUCGAUGACAAAUAUAGUGUGGAUAAAAACUGCAUCCAUCGAUACUUCAACUAUAGAGGAAGUCAUCUUAAUACAUGCAGCUAAAGAAGAAAAUUUACAUAGUCGUUUAGUGCAUACCCAAAGUACACAAAAGUAUAAUACACUAACAAUGGCAAAUGCACUGAACGAUAUACUGUCAAUAAGUGAAUAGAUAGUGUAUCGCCAAAGUAUACUAUUGUAUUUCGAGUGUAAAUGUCGAGUGUGCCUUAAAUUCAUUUAAAAAUUUUUAUCAGAGAAACUAAAUAGUCCUGUUUUUUUGCUUUUCCCCUGACAAUAGAGAGAUCGAGAUGAAAACAAUAAUAAUAAUAUAUAAAACGAGGCAACUAUAUUUUAUUUGAGCACUAACUCAAUUAUAUAAUAUCUAUGGAC